UUUUUUUUUAGUUUAAACAAUACCUCUUUGGGUGCUCUGAACAACUCAUGAAUAGCUUGUUCAGUAAGAUCUCUGGUGACAUCUGAAGACACAAAGGCUGUGAGAAGUGACUGGUUUUCAGUGAUUAUCUGGCAGUAAGGGAAAAUUCUUACAAUCUACUUUAGAAAUAUCUUCGAAGAAUCUGGAGAUUGUUAAAAACAGAUGUCACAAGUGUCUUGAGCAUAGUUAGAAGGAGGAAAAGGAGCUCUCCUGAGAAGUCUGAUGGUUUGCCACAAAGAAAUUGGUACUAAAGUUGUGAGCCCCAAGAUCUCACAGAAAUGCACCAUCUUUUGAGAGUUAAUUGAAGUCAGAAGCGAAAGAUCUUUGGUUUUUUUAAGAAACCUUAUCAGCUCUAUUUCUACUAGCAAUCUAGCCUGUUCUGUCAGAAGAAGAAACAAUAUUACCUGCUUCUUCCACCUCUCUUACACGGUGAAGAAAUUAGUUCCAUUCAUAUAGACAACAGGUGUUUGACCUCUCACUUUUUCAUGCAAGUUAGCGACACAUUUCAGUCAUUGCAAAUCCGGCUAUGUGGUAAAGAAUGGUUUACUCUAGAAUAAAAUAAGGUCACCAGAAGAGCUGUUUGUAUCAUCAGAAGAAUCUCUACCUCAUUUAAAGCUUGCUAAGUAUUCUCCUUACCUGCACCCUCCAUCUCUUUUCCAGAUUUUGCAUAUGUGUCUUUCCAUAGAAUUACGUGGGGCACCUAGAAUUAUGUGCUUGACCUCCUUUGUUAUACUUUUAGCAUUUCAUUUGAUGAGGGAUCUCUCAAAGAGCAAAAACGGGUUGAACAGCCAGCAUUUUUCAGAAACAGCAGGUGACUAAGAAUACUUCAUUUUCUUUGCUACUCAGGCAAUUACAAUUGUAAGCCUGGACUGGGCUGGUAAAGAAGUAGGAGACAGUAAGAGGACAAGUUAGAUGUCUCUGACCUUUAGAAAGAAACAGCUUUCACUUCCAGAAGCAUCUUGUUUUUUGACAAGUUUCAAGUAAAUAAUUGAAUACAGGUACAGGUUCAUUUGAAGAAAAUAAAUAAUGAACACUUGCAGAGUAAUUUAAGAAAAUAUUGUGAAGUAAUUGAACAUUGAGCAAAUCCACUAGAAAAUAUUUGUUAGCAGUUCAGUCAAUAAAAUGGCCUACACACUUCCAUUUGAAGAGCUUCUYAUUUUAUGUUUUAUAUGCUCUCUUGCUUAGACACUACAUAUAACAGUGCAAACCUUUAAUCUUUAACAGGAAGAUUCUUCCCCAUUAAAUUCCCCAUUAAAUCCCUAAAAGUUACAUUUGAAAAUAAUUCAAGCUUCUAAGUGACUUAUAAGCUUUAUACAGCUAGCUCUUCCAGAAUUUAUUUUCCUCAUUUGAGUGUGUCAAGCUGGAUUGCCUGAUCCUUGUGCUUCGUUCUCACCAGUUCAUCAUUAGUUCAGAAGGGUAUCUGUCUGAUGACUAGCUUGUACAUUGAGAGAACACAAGAAAAUGCUGCAUAUGAUGUAAAWUUUGCAGGUGUGUACUAUAUUGUCAAUUCUUGCUUAUAUUACACUGGAAACUUUUAAUGUGCACAGGAGAGACCCAUUUCAAAUAAAGAUUUACAACCCAGUACCUGCUACAUAGAAAUCAAUGGACUUUCAUUCAUGCUGAYUUCUUUCUGCUAAGCAUAAUUUCAUAGUAGUUAAAGGUUCCUUCCUCAUUCUGAAAACAAUCAUGGGAGUUCAUUCAUAUAAAGAUGAGCAAGGAGGAUGCAUAAGAAAUGCAGGAUUUUGCAAAGGAACAAAAUAAGAAUGCAGGCCACAGCUUUUAGGUCAAUAUCCAGUCCAUUAACUCAAGCUGAUUCAAGUUAGUUUGUUUGCCUCUGGCUCUUUUUGCUCUUUCCUUUCUACCCUUAUUUAAUUUUAUGCUGUUACAAGAGAAAUGGAUUUUACUGUAGGAGUGUCAAUGCCCACCAUGUCUUCACACAACACCACUGUGAUACAUUUAAUUAAUAUUGUUCAURUUGUGGCCACGCAACAUAAAAUACCACAAAACAAUCCUCUGGAAUGCUGCUGCAGUUGCCAGCCAUUUUGUUAUAUUUUGUUAUGUUCUGUAGCCUGAAUUGGCCAUCAGCCUUCUUUCURUUCUUAAAGGGGGAAUGAUCAUGUUCAUUUUACAGGGUUAAAAAGGGAUUGAGUCUUCCUGUAAAACGGCAGUGUAGAAUUCAUUGUGAGCAAAACAGAGUUUGUUUCUGCUACAAUACUACAGGAGAAUAAUUUAAAGCCAGGAUUGAAUUACACUCUUAAAAUCUGUUUUUAACAAAUUUUUCAGAAAUAGGCUGCAGUAGCUUGAUUUUUGUCCUACAUGUUUUUGAACCGUAGGGAAAACCUGACAUUAGCAUAUUAAUGCAGUUGUAUCAUAUAGAUAUGGAAUAUA